CUUUUAACGAGAGAGUCAAUACUAAUUGUACCAAAACAAAAUACAAUGCAUGGGAAGCUGCUUGAGCUGACAGACUUAAAACAUGUCAUGAAUACAUGUAUCGUUUGCUUGCCUUCAGAACACAAACAAUUUGAGAGAGUAUUUUGCCUUGGCAAGAUAACACAAACAAGCUGCUUGCCUCCUAUAUAAAUACUUGCUGUGAUUCCCCUGGUUCAACUGAAAGGAAAAAUAUACACCACUUAAUGUAACAAUUAUUCUCCUUCCCAACCGAGUUGGCGAGCCCGUUGCUCCCAUAAGGAAGUAAUUUUCCUCUCCCUGAUCAGCAAUGCCUCGGCCUGCUCCCUAGCUUCUUCACAUGUUUCGGUGGCAGCAUUACAUUUUUCUGCUUCUCUUUGGUAUUGGGAAGCCACCCGCUUUGCUUCAGCAAAAGUGACGUUCAUGUGAUGAAUAUGUUCUUCAGCAACAGCCUCUUGCAAUUUCAACUCUUCCGUUAGAAGGUCGACAAACUGCUUCUCCAUCUCCCUUUUGAG
rnacentral:misc_RNA from 1 species